AGAUUCGAAUGGUGGAGAACUGGGUCCUUGAGGAGUCACCGGGGAGACUGCUCGCACUGUUUGCGGUGCGACGGGCACUGGCCCAGGGACAGAGCGAAGAGAAGGGCCAGCCAGCGGCAGUGGAGUCGGCAGGCUGGCUGCCCACUCGCUUUCUCUCCUCACAAGACUCGCUUCCCCGGCCUUCGAGGAUCUCGAACGGACUAUAGUCUGGACUCGCUGGGCUGGAGGAAACUUGGCCGCUGGCCACCCGGAGGAGACUGAGAAGCCUUUGGUCAACAGGGCGCCUUUCCUUGAACCAAAACAAAACUUUCCGGAGCCGGAAAGGAAACGCCCAGUGUCGCCUGAGAGCCCUGGAGCUGCGCGAGACCCAGGCACUGAGUGCGGCCUCGGCCGCUGACCUCUAACACGCCGGGAACAAACCAGCUGGGGCGGCCCGCAGGCCUGCGGGAGCGGAAUGUGACCCGAAACCGACGGACUUCCUGACCCAUAGUUCAUAGUUCUCUUUAGCAACUUGAACAUUUUGGAAAAAGAAACAAGUCUUAACAUGCCUCGACCUAAUGGAAAAACUAAAUCCCCUUCCUACACCUUGCUUUCCAAAAGUUAAAAAAAAAUAAUUAAACGCUAUUAGAGGUCUCAAGUUCACUGUCACCAGAUCAGCUAGGUCCAGAAUCUUCAGUUCUUGAAGCCAAGCCCUACAAAUAGAUUUAUUGUAGCAUAUCACACCUCUUCAGGUGACUUAAAACAAUGAACACCAAUAAGAUAACAAUUCAUGAGAAAUUAUCUUCAUCCUCAAGUAAAAAUCAUGAGGUGCCUUUCACAUGGAUGAAAUUUGGAAUUUGAAGAAGGAAUGGCAAAGCGGAAGUCCUUCUCCUAUUUGAUGUCUUAACUUGUUUUUACUGGAAGUCACUUCCUCUUUUGUCUCAGAGGCUGAUUCGCCUCCCAUAACCAGUGAUUUUCCUGUAAGCUCAUUAUCCUGGAUGAUGGUUUGACUAACCAAGGCUACUGGCUGCUGAGGGGUUUCUGAGGAAACUUUGGUAGCCUGAUUGAGGCCAUCUGCCUCUCCACCUGGGCUCUAGUUGUGGAGUACACCACUCUGUUCAUGGAGGCCAUGCACACUGGCCAGAGAAGAGCAGCCCAUGUGCAAAAGGAUCCAAGUAAGCAUUUUCCAUUCUCACAGGUCAAAUAAGAGGACUUCCCACAUUUAUUCAGAAGGUAGUUGAAAGUGGUCAGCCCCAGAUCUCCUCUAUGUGACUCUUUGGUUGAUGCUACUUGUACCUCAACACUUGGAAGGCCCGUUCUGGACAGGAGCAACUUUCACUUUACUCUGGAAACGUGGGCAGGUGGGCACAGAAUAGAGUGAAUCUGAGGCAGAAACUCCUUCAGGCUAACUUUGUGACGGACACUGUUCUAAGUCUUUAGGUGAGUUAACUCAUUUAGUCUUCAAGACAAUCCUCUGAAGUAGGUAUUUUUAUCAUCCUCAGUUUACAGACACAGAAACUGAGACACAGAAAGGCCAUUCAGCCACUCAGUGGUUGAGGCAGGACUGACACUCAAGAAGUCUUGUGACAGUUGUAAUGAGUUAGUCGUGAUGGUGGCUACCAGGUAGGUGUGUGGAUAGAUGUGUGGUGGCCUCUCCUCUGAUGGAAAACUCCCAAAGCACUGAAACAGUCUGGUAGCUGUAGUUGCCGAGGUGUGUAGGGGCAUCGGUGAGCUCAGCAGACUGUGUUCCAAGUCACAUUAAAGAGGCAGAUUUAUUGCAAGCCUAUCUCCUAGAGACAGAAUGUAUUUUCCAAAAAUGGGCAACACACUGUGUCCCAUCUCACAUGCUGUUCUUAUAAUAUAACUUUGAUACUACAUUCUUAUUUAGAAAUGGAAGCCCACGUUUCCUCCCUUUGAUGCUGGGCAGAAUUGUGACUACAAUGAAAAUAAUGCUAUAUGGCUUUUGAGGCUAGGUCCUAAAAGGUAAUGCAAUAUACGUAUAGUUCUCUUGGAACAUUUAAUAUUGAAAUCCGACCACCACGCUGUAAAGAAGACUGCAGCCCACGGAGAAGUCCACACAGCCAGAAACUGAGGCCCAAGGCUCACAUCCCCAGCUGAGCUCCUGGCCUACAGCCAGCCCCAAGGUGCCGUCAUGUGAAUGAGACAUUUUGAAAGUGGAUCCCCCAGGCCCAGGCAAGCCAUUCCUGACAAUAAAAUGUGGAACAGAGAUGUGAUUCCUUUUUAAGACCUCCCCAAAUAACAGAUUCCUAAGCAAAAAUAAAGGACUGUUGUUGUUUUAA